UUAAAAUAGAUUUGAUGUUUUUUUUCAUUUUAAUAACUUUUUAAAAAUUGAUUUUUUAAACGAUUUUUAAAAAUUUAAAAUAAUUUUUUUAAAAAUUAAAAAAGUCCCCAUUUUUUAUUUUGGGAUAUUUAACGUUUACUUUUAUUUUAAUCAUUUAAAUUAUUUAUUAUAUUUUAAUAUUUAACAAUUGUUUUGUUAAUGGUAAUUUCGAAUUUAUAAUUGAAAUUAAAGGUAUUAUUGUCAUUUUGAAAAUACUUAGCCUAAUGAGACAUAAAUAAUAUGAGAUUAGUCUAAUAGAACAUAUUUAUCAUUUUUCGGUCUAAAAAAACAAUUUUCCCAUUUUUUCUUUCCGAAACAGGAAUGGAAGAAUACAUCUUUGCAUCCGUUUUAUUUAUUUUUACUAGUUAAUAACCCGGGCUUUGCGUGGAAUGUGAUUAUUAGUUUCGUUAUCCUCUAUAUACUAAAGCACAAGUCACUCAACCAAUCUUAUUUUGCCAUGUAAUAUUUGUUUACAAUUGUUUUUAAAUAAAAUCAAAUAAACCUAGAAAAAGCCUAUGGAAAAAAUACUAAACAACCCAUGAUCUAAUCCACGACCUAUUUUCUUUGUCCACGAUUUUUCUCUUUUCGCAUUCCUAUCUCUUCGAUUCGAUAUAGAAAACUCAAAAUCAAUCAAUAACAGAAAUAUGCUCCGUCUUUGAUUUCAAAACCUUAAUUCAAUAACAGAAAUAUGCUCUUUUUUUUUAAUUUCCAUAUUGAAUGCCCUGGGCCAGUGCAGAGGUACAUCUCUGAGUAAACGAUCUCAGUAACCCAUAGAUCCCGGCGAGGCUAUCUUACUCUGUGUGCAGUUUCGCAGGCUUCAGCGGAGAAACAUAUUGGCUCAUCUGAUCCAUUCUAGAGUCAAGAAAGUUCUAGAAAGGGUGGAUAUGUUUGAUCAGAAUGAUAUGAAUUGCUAGAGACCCACAAGAAAGAGAGGAAGAGGAAAAUAAAAAGCAGAGGCAGAUGAGGUAAAAUCACAAGACUGCCUUUUGAUCAAAGUUAUUAUAGGGACUAGAGAAACAUGAAGUGUUGAAGAUGACAAAAUUGUUGCUGCCCAUCAUGGGGAACAACGAUUAAAUUCUCAAACAAAUUAACAGAGGUAUAUUAACUGCAUGUAUUUGUUAAUUGUUUCAGUUUCUUGGUAAAAUGCUCCAUAGUCGCUGGUAUCAAUAUUUUUUUUGGUUUCCGGUGUUUGAUAUCUCAAAUUAUUCUUCAACUUAUUAUUAAUCUCAAAGGUAUUUGUUACGUUCUCUUUCUCGCAUGUACAUAUAAUUUCUUAAUUAUGCUUUCACAUCCACAUAUCAUUUAGAUUAGAGUAUUUAAUCGAGUUUGCAUGGUUUAGUCAUGUCUGAUGUAUUGCUUAUCAGUUAUGUUAUUUAGUUUAAAAGGUAUAGCAUCAUACUUUAAGUACUAAAGAUCAUAUAUUCUCAAGCUAAUGAGUAAAUUAAUUUUAGAAUUUACUAAUUAUUUUUUCAAUUGUUUACUGGUUUUUUUUAUAUGCAGAUGGAGAUACUAAAUAAAGUGUUUUUUGUAAUGAGUAAAUAAGGUAUUGGUAAGCUAGAAAAUGACCAAUCUAUAAUUUGUACUUUUCUAAUACUCUUGGGAAUGAGGUUCUUUUGAACUUUCAAUUUCGUUGAUUUUUAAAUUAAAUUGUAAUCUAUUUAGGCUUUCCUUAUUCAUAUAUUGCCGAAUAGUAUGAUUUUUCAAAGUGUGAUAUUGGGAAGAAUGAUAGACUAUAGUGUGAUUUGGCUCUAAAAGGAGUUAAGUUCAGUUGCUCAAAAAAAGGAGUUAAGUUCAAUAGCUAAAAGCUCAUUGCAGAUUCUAGACAUUAAACUAUCAUAACAGAGGUAUGGUUUUAUUUAAUGUUCCUUACUGCUCAUAGUUUGCAACUAAAACGUGAUAAGACUGCAAUCUGAUUUCAUAUAUCUUGAUUGAGAAUUAUAUAGAAGAUAUCAGUUUUGCUGAAAAUGGACUUCCACCUGCAGGUUUCAAGGCCUUCAAUGGCACAAAAUAAGUCAGCAAGAAUGAGAGCCUCUUUGGUUGAUAACAAUGUAAGCGCAUCAACCGGAUUAGGAUCUACUGUAGCGACUAAUCAUAAAACAGUUUUGUUCAAGAACUUCAAACUAAUAUUUGUGCUCCAAGAGCUAAUUUUAAUCGAUGUGAAUUUUUAUAAACAAAUUAAACUGUUUUUCAUAUGUUUAGUCAAUGAUAAGUGUGUUAACAUU